UACGUAGGGUGCGAGCGUUAAUCGGAAUUACUGGGCGUAAAGCGUGCGUAGACGGUUAUUUAAGUCGGGUGUGAAAGCCCCGGGCUCAACCCUGGAAUGCCGGUGGAAACUGUCGGGCUGGAGUCCGGAAGAGGCGAGUGGAAUUCCUGGUGUAGCGGUGAAAUGCGCAGAUAUCAGGAGGAACACCAAUGGCGAAGGCAGCUCGCUGGGACGGUACUGACGCUGAGACGCGAAAGCGUGGGGAGCAAACAGG
rnacentral:rRNA from 1 species